CCGACAAUUGAAAAUGAACCUCAUAUAAAUUUGAGAAUAUGGCUCAGAAGUUUCUACCCAGCACCGUAAAUGGCUGGACUAUGAGGGAAGAUGGAUCAUUU
rnacentral:ncRNA from 2 species